rnacentral:rRNA from 1 species
GAUGAACACUGGCGGCGUGCCUAACACAUGCAAGUCGAGCGAUUCUCUUCGGAGAAGAGCGGCGGACGGGUGAGUAACGCGUGGGUAACCUGCCCUGUACACACGGAUAACAUACCGAAAGGUAUGCUAAUACGAGAUAAUAUACUUUUAUCGUAUGGUAGAAGUAUCAAAGCUCCGGCGGUACAGGAUGGACCCGCGUCUGAUUAGCUAGUUGGUAAGGUAACGGCUUACCAAGGCGACGAUCAGUAGCCGACCUGAGAGGGUGAUCGGCCACAUUGGAACUGAGACACGGUCCAAACUCCUACGGGAGGCAGCAGUGGGGAAUAUUGCACAAUGGGCGAAAGCCUGAUGCAGCAACGCCGCGUGAGCGAUGAAGGCCUUCGGGUCGUAAAGCUCUGUCCUCAAGGAAGAUAAUGACGGUACUUGAGGAGGAAGCCCCGGCUAACUACGUGCCAGCAGCCGCCGUAA